rnacentral:lncRNA from 1 species
GGGGGGUCAAACGAUUGAUGCAAGUAAUUUAAAGGGAGUGAAAGAGGAAGAAGUUCGGAGGGAACAAUAUUGAAAACCAGAUGAUUAAAAGAGAUAUUUGCAUAAUAGGUGCAAGUAAUUGAAGUGAAAGAAGUUAAAGAAACUGAAGACUAAACAACGUUUCAAAUUCUAAAUAAAGGGGAAAGUGAAUAAGUAAAGAGAAAAGGGGGUCCUAGGUUUAUAAAUAAUAUGGAUCUCCCCACACAACACCCGGUAACCAUUUAAAUAAGUGUUGUUAUCGUGUGGACAUCAUAUCGAUGUCCACCCUUUACCCACCCCAUUGAGGUAUUAAAUUGCGAAUUGGCUUCAUUACUUAUUGCAUGUUAUUAACUACCCCAAUCCUAUCAAUCCCGGAGGCAGUUGGGACUACUAGUCCGAAAAGGGAGAGGAGAUUGGCUUUUCAGAGCAUCAAAGGACAAAAGUCUAGUGCGACAAACAAAAACACAUACCACAUUAAGAGGGGAACACAUAGCAAAUAAAGGCUCAGAUAGGCCUCCUUAUUCAAAGAAGUAAGUUGUUUAGCAUGACUUACAAGUACUGGAUAGGUCUUUAAUUAAACUUAAACAUGAGAGCAGGCUGAUUCAUCACAUAUUUCUCAUAUAAGAG